UGGGGAAUUUUGCGCAAUGGGGGGAACCCUGACGCAGCGACGCCGCGUAGGUGACGAAGCUCUUUGGAGUGUAAAACCUUGUCACCGGUGACGAAGGCGGUUCAAUCGAACAGGUUGAACAGCUUGACGGUAGCCGGAGAGGAAGCCCCGGCUAACUCCGUGCCAGCAGCCGCGGUAACACGGGGGGGGCGAGCGUUAUUCGGAAUUACUGGGCGUAAAGGGCGCGUAGGCGGUCUGCUAAGUGUGGAGUGAAAUCCCCGGGCUCAACUCGGGACGUGCUUUGCAUACUGGUGGACUGGAGUCCGAGAGGGGGUGGUGGAAUUCCUGGUGUAGGGGUGAAAUCCGUAGAUAUCAGGAGGAACACCGUUGGCGAAGGCGGCCACCUGGAUCGGUACUGACGCUGAGGCGCGAAAGCGUGGGGAGCGAACAGGAUUAGAUACCCUGGUAGUCCACDCCGUAAACGAUGGUCACUUGGUGUUGGGGUGUCUUAACCACUUCAAUGCCGGAGCCUAACGCAUUAAGUGACCCGCCUGGDGAGUACGGUCGCAAGGCUG
rnacentral:rRNA from 1 species